rnacentral:rRNA from 1 species
UAGCAUAUCAAUAAGCGGAGGAAAAGAAACCAACCGGGAUUGCCUCAGUAACGGCGAGUGAAGCGGCAAGAGCUCAAAUUUGAAAGCUGGCCCCUCCGGGGUCCGCGUUGUAAUUUGCAGAGGAUGCUUCGGGUGCGGCCCCUGUCUAAGUGCCCUGGAACGGGCCGUCAGAGAGGGUGAGAAUCCCGUCUUGGGCAGGGUGCCCGUGCCCGUGUGAAGCUCCUUCGACGAGUCGAGUUGUUUGGGAAUGCAGCUCUAAAUGGGUGGUAAAUUUCAUCUAAAGCUAAAUACCGGCCGGAGACCGAUAGCGCACAAGUAGAGUGAUCGAAAGAUGAAAAGCACUUUGAAAAGAGAGUUAAACAGCACGUGAAAUUGUUGAAAGGGAAGCGCUUGCGACCAGACUCGGCCCCGGGGUUCAGCCAGCACUCGUGCUGGUGUACUUCCCCGGGGGCGGGCCAGCGUCGGUUUGGGCGGCCGGUCAAAGGCCCCAGGAAUGUAUCGCCCUCCGGGGUUGUCUUAUAGCCUGGGGUGCAAUGCGGCCAGCCCGGACCGAGGAACGCGCUUCGGCACGGACGCUGGCGUAAUGGUCGCAAACGACCCGUCUUGAAACACGGACCAAGGAGUCUAACAUCUACGCGAGUGUUCGGGUGUCAAACCCGUACGCGCAGUGAAAGCGAACGGAGGUGGGAGCCCCCCCGGGGCGCACCAUCGACCGAUCCUGAUGUCUUCGGAUGGAUUUGAGUAAGAGCGUAGCUGUGGGGACCCGAAAGAUGGUGAACUAUGCCUGAAUAGGGCGAAGCCAGAGGAAACUCUGGUGGAGGCUCGCAGCGGUUCUGACGUGCAAAUCGAUCGUCAAAUUUGGGUAUAGGGGCGAAAGAC